rnacentral:misc_RNA from 1 species
GUUCCACGUUAUCAUAAAUGACAGAAACAUGCCUGAUUUAUAGUUCACUUAUCAAAUUUCUUUCAUCUCAUGCCCCAGAUGCUGCAGCAUACGGGUUGAAGUUGUUGAUGAUGGAGCAUAUUUUUCUUGAUUAAAGCAGUAAAGACAAGAAAAUGACCUUUAAACAAUUUGCAGAAUAAAACUGACCUUUUGCAAUGCCAUUGAUAAUG